CUCUCUCUCGUAAUUUUUUUCAGGUUUCUUAUCAGGUUGCCGGUUUCCUUUCUUCAUCCUGGGGAUCAGGACGUGCACACUCCCCACUCGAUCCAGUUUCCAGAAACUGCCAAUGCGCUCAUCCUAGCUCCACAAGUCCGGCGACCUCAGUGUCGCGGCCGCUGCCGCUCGGAGAUUCCACGCCGUAUUGGCGUCGUGCUCGUCGAUCCCAGCUUCCCCGAUUCAAUUCCUCCCACUCCCUCGCCGACGGUCCCGAAUCCCAGGCGGCGCUGGGGGGAGCUGCGCCGUGGAGCGCUUCCCGAUGGACGACGGCGCGUCCAUGGGUCACUGCACCGCCCACCGCAAGUACUUGUUUUCCUCCUUCCAGCCUCACAUUCCCCCGCUGGGGAGCGCAGUAUUCCCAUGCUGAACCCGUCGUCGCCGCGCCUCACCAUCCUCGACGCCCUCUCUGCCAGGCUUCUCUUCUGCACGGUUGUAAAGGGAUUGGGCGGUGGCAUAACAGGCCACGAGAGCGAUCUCCAACUUGGUGGAUCCUCUCUUAGCUUGAAGGAACCUGCGAAGAAAUCAUGCCCAAGCAGUUUUUAAAUAGCAAGAUCACUAGCACACAUGCUGAUGUGCACCCAAUUUCACUGAUGACUGUGGGAUGCAUCUAUAUCCUAUACUCAGAAUACUUUUUUCUGAAUUUUCUCUUUGUUAAAUACUUGAUGGGUAGAUGGUAUGCUUGAUUUGUUAUUCUGCACUCAUUUUUGGCAAAGUAGUAUGUAUACUAUUUUGAUUUACCAUUAUGUGAAUUAAAUUAUUAGCAUACACUAGAAGCUAAAUUUUCUUGAUUAACCAUGGUCCGGUGUUAUGCAUAAUUUUCUAAGUUGUUGGCUGCAAUGGUAUCUUAAAUCUAGCGCUAGUGGGCAUGCUCAGCUAGGUUGAGGCAAAUUAUUCUGGUUCUAUAAUUAUAAAGUUACAGAGCUGGAGUGUUUUAACAAUAAAACUUCACGUUUAAGUGGAACAGAAAAUUCAUCAAGUCUCUUUGGUAGUAUCAUGGUAAGCAUGCCUGAUAUUUGAAGUUUCCAGUGCAGAUCCACUGAGAAUAUGCGAGGAAAUAUGCGUUGCUAAUAGGUGAGAAUAUUUUUAUGUACUGUGUUAGUGAGACUGCCAGGUGCUAGAAGAAAACGCGUAAUGCUUGAACAAUCUUUUAUUAAUUUUACAUCUUUUCUUCAUAUACGUCUCUUAGUCUCCGUGGCUCACUCAGCUGUAUUUUGUUUUGAGAAUAAUUCCACUGUAGUUUGUAAGUAUGUUAUUUCGAAAGGUCGUAAAAAUGCUACUCACAGACAUGAAGUGAAAAUAAUAUAUAUCUUGAAGAGAACCAACAAUGCUGCUAAUGUAACUUCAGUUGAGCUUGUCUUUAGAGAUGGAUAGAUGUGGAAAAAAAUGCUUGUCCGUAUAUCCUUCUACUAAUUAGUCUAUUUUUCAAUAAUUUUUUUUAUUAGUGUUAUGUUUUCUUAAGCUCUUCACAUGGUGAAGUUAUAUGGCCCUUGCGCUUGUGGUUUGCUAGCCAGUGAUACUUAUUAUCAUGUGACGCAUUAGUUGCUCCAAACAUAAUAUAAAUGCUUCAAUAACUUAUCUCUGAAAGGAAAUCUUAUUUCUGAAGUUUCCAAUUCUGCUGGGGCUUGCAGAUUUAAAAUAUGU